ensembl:snoRNA
CUGGAGAUGAUGCAUUUUAAACCUCUGAGUACCCGUGAAGGUCUUUGUAUUCAUACUGUCUGAUCCAG